GCCAAACGUGAUGAACAAAACGGAGUUAUUUCAUCUACACAAAUAAUCUUUUUGGAAAAUAAUGAACAUUUGCUAUCUAACUAAGAGUCUCGUCAUUGAAAACAUCCGAAGUUCUUCAAAGGUUGGGGUGGAUGUUUUGAAUCCGAUGGCACGGGCUGUACUCUUUGAAAGGAGGCACCCGUCGCUGGCCUGUUGCUAUGUUCUGCAAAAUGCUUGACUUGGCUGCUAUCAACGCACACGUGUUGUUCAUCAGUGCAUGAACAACACCAUGCCCAGGAGAGACUUCAUCAUGAGUCUGGCAUACGGGCUACCUGAGAGACAAACGAGGGCCAAGGCAGCAGCAAAGAUUCCACGCAAGCCUUUGCGCGAGCCAAAUUGCGCACAGCUCCCGGGGAGGAGACAGUGUCAGGUGGACAGAUGAACAAAGAACAGA
ensembl:lncRNA